UUCUCUCCCAGAGUAGCAAAUAGCAACAGCCCCUCUUUGGAAUGCGGAGCUGCUCGGGAGGACAAAGUUGCCCUGUUGGUAUCUGGUCCAGUGGAGAAGAAAGAAGGGCUUGGUGGGAAGGGCAGAAGCAUACCCGUCGGCCUGUGGCUAGAUACAACCAAGACACUGGCAUGCUAAUGAGUCUGAACUAGCCACCUGGAGGAUAAGAGGCCUGGAAGAUGAGAGGCCACAUGGAGGAGAACCAAGAUGCCCCUGCUGACAGCCUGUCAGAAAAUUGCCAGACAUUUCACCGACUUCUCAAAGAAAGACUUUCCCCAAGUAGCUGGCGGUUUCCCAGUAUGAUAAGGCAAAAUAGCGAGAAAGUUUUGUUGUUUUCUUUGUCCUGCCUUUCUCCCACUUCAAGAAUCUGA